UACGAGGGGAGCUAGCGUUGUUCGGAAUCACUGGGCGUAAAGCGCACGUAGGCGGAUUUGUCAGUCAGGGGUGAAAUCCCGGGGCUCAACCUCGGAACUGCCUUUGAUACAGCAAGUCUUGAGUUCGAGAGAGGUGGGUGGAAUUCCUAGUGUAGAGGUGAAAUUCGUAGAUAUUAGGAAGAACACCGGUGGCGAAGGCGGCCCACUGGCUCGAUACUGACGCUGAGGUGCGAAAGCGUGGGGAGCAAACAGG
rnacentral:rRNA from 1 species